CAGUCAUGCUAAUAGGGGAUCAACUUGAUGGGUCGUUCCCCCGGGAGCAAUCUUUCUUGUGCACUUCCUUGUUCGGCAGGUUAGCAUCAAUUUCGGUUGUCAUCAAAAAAUUGGGGGAAUGUGACUUCUUUCGGGAAGUGUUAUAGACCUCGAUAUAUGUGGUGAUCGGGAUUGAGGAUUGCAGCGGAUGCUUUUGGGCUAGUCACCUACCUUCUGACGGCUACCCCGCUUUCGAUAGCUUGCUAACGACUGUGGGAUUCAACAGUCUAGAUGUUGGAGUGAUCUUAUA
rnacentral:rRNA from 1 species